rnacentral:lncRNA from 1 species
ACAGUAACAAAGGAUUUAAGUGAGAAUGCUGUGGGACCUCAGCUCCUAGAAAUAGCUUAGGACUCUCAGGGACUCCUUGAUUCUAUCAAGGAUAAUGAAGAGAUUAUCUUGGGAAAAAAAAAAAAAAAAACAGGAAAGAGCUCUCAGACAGCAGGGGGACUUAAUGUGAGCCACAGGCCUGAAAGAACCAAGCCCCUGAAAUGUCAACUCUCUGUGGACUUACAAAGGAAAAUAGCAAGAAAACUCUGCCUGGUUUGUUGAUAAAGGAUUGCGUUCAGGUCCUGCUACCUGCCCCGUGUGAAUUCCACCCAGCCAUCCUCCAGUUCCUUGGGCUAAGAUCGGGAGGAGAUCCGUCUGCCUCAGCCCCGCCUCACACCUUGGCUUCAGGGCCGAGAACUGAAGCUAAUUCCUGUGCCAGAGAACAUUAUGUGCUUGCAUAGCAGCAAGGGGAACGUUUUCUAAAUAAUUAAUCGGGAGCUCGGGAUCUUCCUGGAUUCUGCCUGUUCCUGGAAUCCACCCUGAAGGAGGUUUUGUGUAGCCAUCUGUAAUUGCCACCGGAGACUGGAGCUGUAUCUCUGCCCCUUGUGUUGUU